AGAGUUUGAUCCUGGCUCAGGACGAACGCUGGCGGCGUGCCUAACACAUGCAAGUCGAACGGGGGAUGGGGAGCUUGCUCCCCAAACCUAGUGGCGGACGGGCGAGUAACGCGUGAGCAACCUGCCUUUCAGAGGGGGACAACGGCUGGAAACGGCCGCUAAUACCGCAUAACACAGCGGGGUCACAUGGCCCUGCUGUCAAAGGAGCAAUCCGCUGAAAGAUGGGCUCGCGUCCGAUUAGCUAGAUGG
rnacentral:rRNA from 1 species